GGACCUGCUGGAUUGUUGCCCCAAUUCGCGGAUUCUGGUUUCUGAAGGCUACGCCGGAAUUCCUUCCCCGGGACUUGGGAACCACUUCUGCCUCCCUCCCUGGGGCGUGGAGGCUGAGGAAAAGGAGUGCCUCCACUUCUCAUUCAGAGAAUUCAGUGCAUACAAAAUCAGCUUCUGUUGUAUCAUCAGAUUCCAUUUCAACUUCUGCCGACAACUUUUCUCCUGAUUUGAGGGUCCUGAGGGAGUCUAACAAGUUAGCAGAAAUGGAAGAACCACCCUUGCUUCCAGGAGAAAAUAUUAAAGACAUGGCCAAAGAUGUAACUUAUAUAUGUCCAUUCACUGGUGCUGUACGAGGAACUCUGACUGUCACGAAUUAUAGGUUAUAUUUCAAAAGCAUGGAACGGGAUCCCCCAUUUGUUUUAGAUGCUUCCCUUGGUGUGAUAAAUAGAGUAGAAAAAAUUGGUGGUGCUUCUAGUCGAGGUGAAAAUUCUUAUGGACUAGAAACUGUGUGUAAGGAUAUUAGGAAUUUACGAUUUGCUCAUAAACCUGAGGGGCGGACAAGAAGAUCCAUAUUUGAGAAUCUAAUGAAAUAUGCAUUUCCUGUCUCUAAUAACCUGCCUCUUUUUGCUUUUGAAUACAAAGAAGUAUUCCCUGAAAAUGGGUGGAAGCUAUAUGACCCUCUUUUAGAGUAUAGAAGGCAGGGAAUUCCAAAUGAAAGCUGGAGAAUAACAAAGAUAAAUGAACGAUAUGAACUUUGUGAUACAUACCCUGCCCUCCUGGUUGUGCCAGCAAAUAUUCCUGAUGAAGAAUUAAAGAGAGUGGCAUCCUUCAGAUCAAGA
rnacentral:sRNA from 1 species